UACGUAGGGGGGCAAGCGUUGUCCGGAUUUAUUGGGCGUAAAGAGCGUGUAGGCGGUUUGGUAGGUCCGCUGUGAAAACUCGAGGCUCAACCUCGAGACGCCGGUGGAAACCAUCAGACUAGAGUCCGGAAGAGGAGAGUGGAAUUCCUGGUGUAGCGGUGAAAUGCGCAGAUAUCAGGAAGAACACCCGUGGCUAAGGCGGCUCACUGGUCCGGUACUGACGCUGAGGUGCGAAAGCGUGGGGAGCAAACAGG
rnacentral:rRNA from 1 species